UAAGGAAUAUUGGUCAAUGGACGCAAGUCUGAACCAGCCAUGCCGCGUGGAGGAUGAAGGCCCUCUGGGUUGUAAACUUCUUUUAUUGGGGAAGAACUCUACUUUUUCUAAGGUAGUUGACGGUACCCGAUGAAUAAGCACCGGCUAACUCCGUGCCAGCAGCCGCGGUAAUACGGAGGGUGCAAGCGUUAUCCGGAUUCACUGGGUUUAAAGGGUGCGUAGGUGGGCAGGUAAGUCAGUGGUGAAAUCUCCGGGCUUAACCCGGGAACUGCCGUUGAUACUAUCUGUCUUGAAUGUAGUGGAGGUGAGCGGAAUAUGUCAUGUAGCGGUGAAAUGCUUAGAUAUGACAUAGAACACCCAUUGCGAAGGCAGCUCGCUACACUAUUAUUGACACUGAGGCACGAAAGCGUGGGGAUCAAACAGGAUUAGAUACCCUGGUAGUCCACGCCCUAAACGAUGGAUACUCGACAUCAGCGAUACACAGUUGGUGUCUGAGCGAAAGCAUUAAGUAUCCCACCUGGGAAGUACGACCGCAAGGUUG
rnacentral:rRNA from 1 species